CUUGAAGAAGCCAUUGAUAUGAAGUGGUUUUAGGGUUCUAAAGAGUUUUUGAGAGGAUGAGAGAAUGCGCUUACGUUCGCAGAGGGUUGAAAAGAAAAAAUAGAAAGUGUUUGUUGUGAAGUGAGAAGUGUGUGAAAUGACUUAGUGUUUUUAUUAAAACGUUUGUAAUUCAGAGGGGACAAACAAACACAGCAUUAAUGACAAAUUGGGGGCGCGUGUAAGUACGUCAAAAAGCGAAUAAAAACAUCAUUGCCCUUUUUGUUAUACUCCAAUACAAAUAAACCACGUCAGAGACUCUUCAGAAAACUACCUUUUGGGUAAUGAGACAGCUGUUACAUAAAGUAACUUCCACCGUUCCCACUAACCAAGCUAUUCAGAAGCAAAGAAUAACACUUCUGAAGUUUUAGUGCUGACGUCAUCUUCAGAAGCACAUUUUCCUCAGAACCUCAAUUAAGAGCUUCUGAUGAACCAAAAUGCUCCUGAAUAAACUUCAGAACCAAACUUCUUAUUCAGAGGCGAGCAAUUUUUCAAUCAGACACAAAAUGCAUGUUCAAAUUUUUCUUAAUAAAAUCAAAUCUUUCAACAGACAAAGGUUUUGUAAAUAUAUCAGCC
rnacentral:lncRNA from 1 species